GUAUUUUGGUUUUGUUAAACAUAGAUGUCCUUAGAAAGAUGCUCUUCAAGAGAGGAGAUAAACUCAAAUCACAGUUAUACUUGGCUUUGAUUAUUUAGGACCUGACCUUUAAAAUGUUUUCUUUUAAGAGCAUUUCUUUCAAUGUAUUAUAUGGAAUUUGGUUGGAGACACCAGCUUGGGAAAAUUAUA